AUAGAAUGGCAAGCUUGCAGUGCGAGGAAGCCGGUGCAAACCCGGCACGGUCGCGCCACUGUGAGCGGUUUUGUCGUGAAGACAGUCCGCGAGUCAGACCCCGCUGCAAGCUCUUCGUCUAUC
rnacentral:ncRNA from 1 species